UACGUAGGGUGCAAGCGUUGUCCGGAAUUAUUGGGCGUUAAAGAGCUCGUAGGCGGUUUGUUGCGUCGGCUGUGAAAUCCCGAGGCUCAACCUCGGGUCUGCAGUCGAUACGAGCAAACUAGAGUGUUGCAGGGGGAGACUGGAAUUCCUGGUGUAGCGGUGAAAUGCGCAGAUAUCAGGAGGAACAGCCAAUGGCGAAGGCAGAUCUCUGGGCCGUAACUGACGCUGGAGGAGCGAAAGCAUGGGGAGCGAACAGG
rnacentral:rRNA from 1 species